ACUUAUAAUUGGUUAGACAAUCUCCACUUGCUCAGCGUAUGCUAGUAAACAAUAGUAGUUUGAUGUUAUACACUUUCCUUCCAGGAAACUGACCUCAACGUCUCUUCCAUGGCACAUUAAGGAAACAAGAGAAAGAAGACGAUAUAUCCUCGUUGUGGCACACAGAGGGUUAAAGAUCAACAAGCUGCCCUUGAUUAAUAACUGGGAAUAAUUAUCACAAGUAGAGCUUACUUCUACAUAUAUCAAGCAUAUACAAAUAUGGCUUCCUCUUCUUCUCCCACUACUCCAUAUUUGAAGCACGAAGUGUUCCUCAGUUUUAGAGGCUUUGACACCCGCAAUAGUUUCACCAGUCAUCUUUAUGAUGCUUUGCAGCGAAACCAAAUUGAUGCUUACAUCGAUAAUAAACUUGAUGGAGGAGAAAAGAUCGAGCCUGCCCUCUUGAAAAGGAUUGAAGAGUCGUUUAUUUCGCUAGUCAUUUUCUCUGAAAAUUAUGCAGAUUCUACUUUCUGUUUGAGGGAACUCUCCAAGAUUCUUGAGUGCAUGGAGACCAAACAACAGAUGGUCUUACCAGUAUUUUACCGACUUGAUCCAAGCCAUGUUCAAAAUCUGACUGGGAGCUAUGGAGAUGCACUUUGCAAGCAUGAAAAAGAUUGCAGUUCUGAAGAAGUAAAGAGUUGGAGACGUGCUUUGAAAGAAAUAGCUAAUCUCAAGGGCUGGGAUUCAAACGUCAUUAAGGAUGAGACCAAGCUAAUUCAGGAAAUUGUUUCCGACAUUCAAAAGAAAUUUAGCCAUGAGCUGUCACUCUCAUUCGAUGCAGAAGGCCUUGUUGGAAUGAAAUCACGCGUUAAAGACAUCGAAUCAUUACUAUCCUUUGGAUCAACUGGUGUGCUCAUUGUGGGAAUCUGGGGGAUAGGUGGUAUAGGCAAGUCAACGACGGCUGAUGUUGUGUAUCAUCGAAACCGUAGUAAAUUUGAAGGCCAUUGCUUUUUCCAAAAUGUGAGGGAAGAAUCAAAGAGGCAUGGAGUGAAUCAUGUAAGACAGGAAAUUCUUGGUGAAGUAUUAGAGAAAAAAGAUAUGACUAUACGCCCAAUAGGGUUACCCCCGGACAUUAAGCGAAUGCUUCAAAGGAAAAAAGUCCUCAUAGUUCUUGAUGAUGUCAAUGAUCCACAAGAUUUAAAAUAUUUACUAGGAGAGGAUGGUUUGUUUGGCCAAGGAAGUAGAAUCAUGGUGACAAGUAGAGAUAGGCGAGUUCUUGAAAAUGCAUGUGAUGAAGACAAAAUUUACGAGGUUGAAAUUUUAGAUGAAGACGAUGCACUACGACUCUUCAGCUUACAUGCUUUUAAACAAGAUCGUCCCAUGGAAGGAUAUACUGGGCUAUCAAAAACUGUGGUAAGCUGUGUUAAGGGCAUUCCAUUAGUUCUCAAGGUUUUAGGUGCCAAUCUAUACAAUAAAAGGAGUGUUGAAUACUGGGAAAGUAAGGUGGCACAGCUAAGAACAAAUGGUAGCGAGGACAUUAAGAAACAUUUGGAAAUGUGUUAUCAUGAAUUAAAUCAGACAGAAAAGAAAAUAUUUCUUGAUAUAGCAUGUUUCUUUGAACUGUGCGAAAGGGAUAUCCUCCAACAAACACUAGAUCUGAAAGAAAGAAGUGGGAUCGAUCGUCUCGCUGAUAUGUGUCUCAUAAAAAUUGUUCACGGCAAGAUCUGGAUGCAUGAUGUGCUACUACUUCUAGGGCGAGAAAUUGUCCUCCGAGAAAAUGAUGACCCUAGAGAACGUAGCAGGUUGUGGGAGGAUGAGGAUGUCUGUCGUGUAUUAACAACUCAGGGGACUAGAUCAAAAGUGGAAAGCAUAUCCCUCAUCUUGGAUGCAACUAAAGAUCAAUUGAGAUUAAGUCCUACAGCAUUUGAAGGGAUGUAUAAUUUAAGAUUGCUCAAAAUCUACUACCCACCUUUCUUAAAGAAUCCCUCAAAGGAGCAAAUUAUGAAUCGAAAGAGGGUCGGAAUCCACCUUCCAGGAGGGCUUCACUUUCUUUCAAGUGAGCUAAGGUUUCUCUACUGGUAUAAUUACCCUUUGAAAUCCUUGCCAUCAAAUUUUUUCCCUGAGAAACCUUUUCAACUUGAAAUGCCCUGUAGCCAGCUUGAACAACUUUGGAAUGAAGGCCAGCCACUUGAGAAUUUAAAAUUAAUGAACCCCCCUUCCUCAAAGCUGAGCUUAAUUGAUUCAGACCUGUCUAAAAUCCCAAACCUUGAGGUUCUACAUCCGGGACAUUAUAGUAGCUUGGCUGGUAUACCUUCCUCGAUUAAAUACAGCACCAGUCUUGCCACAUUAGAGCUUCCUAGAUUCGAGAGUUUCUGUACUUUGCCAUCAUCAAUUGGGUGCCUCUCUCAACUUGUUAGAUUAAACUUAUCUUUAUGUGAAAGUCUUGCUAGUCUACCGGACAACAUUGAUGAGUUGAAAUCUCUUGUAGAACUUGAUCUUUAUUCUUGCUCAAAACUAGCAAGUCUUCCAAAUAGCAUUUGCAAGUUGAAAUGUCUUACUAAGCUUAAUCUUGGUCAUCAGCCAAAACUAGUAAGUCUACCAGACAACAUUGGGGAGUUGAGAUCUCUUGUAAAGCUUAGUCUUUUUUCUUGCUCAAAACUAGUUAGUCUACCCGACAGCAUUGGCGAGUUAAGAUCUCUUGUAGAGCUUAGUCUUUCUUCUUGCUCAAAACUAGCAAGUCUCCCAGAUAGCAUUGGCCAGUUGAAAUCUCUUGUAGAGCUUCGUCUUUCUUCUUGCUCAAAACUAGCAAGUCUCCCAGACAGCAUUGGUGAGUUGAGAUCUCUUGUAGAGCUUCGUCUUUCUUCUUGCUCGGGACUAGCAAGUCUACCAGACAGCAUUGGCGGAUUGAAAUCUCUUCAAUGGUUUGAUCUUAAUGGUUGCUUUGGACUAGCAAGUCUACCGGACAACAUUGGUGCGUUGAAAUCUCUUCAAUGGCUUUAUCUUAAUGGAUGCUCAGGAUUAGCAAGUCUACCAAACAACAUUGGCGGGUUGGAAUCUCUCAAAUCGCUUUUAUCAAGACUAACAAGUCUACCGGACAACAUUAACGAGUUGAAAUCUCUCAAAUUGUUUUAUCAUAGUGGUCGCUCAGGACUAGCAAGUCUAACGGACACCAUUGACGGGUUGAAAUCUCUCAAAUUGCUUGAUCUUAGUGGCCGCUCAGGACUAACAAGUCUACCAGACAAUAUUGGUGCGUUGAAAUCUCUUGAAAACCUUGAUCUUAGUGGUUGCUCAGGACUAGCAAGUCUACCAGACAACAUUGGCUCAUUGAAAUCUCUCAAAUCGCUUAAUCUUAAUGGUUGGUCAGCACUAACAAGUCUAUCAGACAAGAUUGGGGCGUUGAAAUCUCUUAACAACAUUGAUCUUAGUGGUUGCUCAGGACUAGCAAGUCUACCAGACAGUAUUGGCGUAUUGAAAUCUCUUAACAACAUUAAUCUUAGUGGUUGCUCAGGACUAGCAAAUCUACCGGAUAGCAUUGGUGCGUUGAAAUCCCUCAAAUCGCUUCAUCUUUGUGGUUGCUCAAGACUAGCAAGUUUACCGGACAGAAUUGGCAGGUUGAAAUCUCUUACGUGGCUUAAUCUUUCUGGUUGCUCAGGACUAAAAAGUCUACCGGACAGCAUUGGCGAGUUGAAAUCUCUUGAACGACUUGAUCUUUAUGAUUGCUCCGGACUAGCAAGUCUACCGAACAACAUUGGCGCGUUAAAAUCUCUAAAAUCGCUUAAUCUUAGUGGUUGCUCAGGACUAACAAGUCUACGGGACAACAUUGGCGCGUUGAAAUCUCUUGAAUCUCUUAUACUUAGUGGUUGCUCAAGACUAGCAAGUCUACCAGACAACAUUGGCGAGUUGAAAUAUCUCAAAUCGCUUCAUCUUAGUGGUUUCUCAAGACUAGCAAGUCUACCGGACAACAUUAGAGAGUUGAAAUCUCUUGAAUCGCUUAGUCUUUAUGGUUGUUCAGGAUUAGCAAGUCUACCGGACAACAUUGGCGUGUUGAAAUCUCUCAAAUCGCUUCGUCUUAGUGGUUUCUCAAGACUAGCAAGUCUACCGAACAGCAUUGUCGAGUUGAAAUCUCUUGAAUCACUUAGUCUUUGUGGUUGCUCAGGACUAGCAAGUUUACCAGACAUAAUUGGCGGGUUGAAAUCUCUCAAAUCGCUUUGUCUUAGUGGUUUCUCAAGACUAGCAAGUUUACCGGACAGCAUUGGCGCGUUGAAAUCUCUUGAAUCACUUAGUCUUUGUGGUUGUUCAGGACUAGCAAGUUUAUCGGACAUAAUUGGCGGGUUGAAAUCUCUUACGUGGCUUAAUCUUUCUGAUUGCUCAGGACUAAAAAGCCUACCCGACAACAUUGUGGAGUUGAAACAUCUUACUACGCUCAUUCUCAGUGGUUGCUUAAAACUAGCGAGUCUUCCAGACAACUUCAUUGAUCUUGAAUUUAGUGGACUUGACAAACAACGUUGUUAUAUGCUGAGAGGAUUCCAGAAAGUAGAAGAAAUUGCCGCAUCCACCUAUCAAUUGGGCUGCCAUGAACUUUUAAAUUUGGAAAAUUCUCGUGUGUUAAAAGCUCCAGAGAGCUUAGGCUCUUUGUUGUCGCUAACACGAUUGAGAUUAUCUAAGAUUGAUUUUGAGAGGAUACCUGCAAGCAUCAAGCACCUUACUAAGCUAAGUGAACUCUAUUUAGAUGACUGCAAGCGGCUUCAAUGUUUACCAGAGCUUCCAUCGACUCUACAAGUUUUAAUCGCAUCAGGUUGCAUCUCUCUAAAAUCUAUAGCAAGUAUGUUCAUGCAAGGUGAUAGAGAAUAUAAAGCUGCUUCUCAGGAAUUCAAUUUCUCUGGAUGCCUCCAACUGGAUCAGAAUCAACGCACUAGAAUUAUGGGUGAUGCCCGUUUACGAAUUCAACGCACGGCAACAUCAUUGUUUUAUCAGGAAUAUCAUGGUCAGUUCAUUAGAGUUCGGUUGUGUAUUCCUGGGUCGGAAGUCCCGGAGGGUUUCAGUUAUAAAAAUAGAGAAGGAUCUUCAGUAAAAAUCCGGCAACCAGCUCAUUCUUAUCGUGGUUUCACUUUUUGCGCUGUUGUUUCAUUUGGCCAAAACGGGGAAAGGCGUCCGGUUAAUAUUGAAUGUGAAUGCCAUUUGAUAAUCAAAGAUGGAACCCAGAUUGAUCUCAGUUCCUACUACUACGAUAAAUAUGAAAGACAGGUGAGGAGUUUAUGGAAAAGGGAUCAGCAUGUGUUCAUUUGGAGUGUCCACUCUAAGGGCUUUUUCAAGGAGGCCUCGUUUCAUUUCAAACCACUGUGGGGAGCUACUGAUGUGAUGGUUGCGUGUGGAGUCCAUCCACUGUUUGUCAACGAGUUUUAAAAUUGAUGGAAAAUGCUUGACACUGGUAACUUAAUGCUAUGGAUGCAUGGUUUCGCUUUUUGACACUGCUUGCAGGGGCCUCUUCCACCAGAAAUUGGAGUUUUUUCUAACUUGGGGCUCUCCCUCAACCUUUCAAAUAACAAUCUAGACGGGGAAAUACCUGCAACUAUUGGAAAUCUGGUAUCUGUACAAGCUAUUGACUUAUCGGUGAACAGAUUUUCUGGCAUUAUACCAAGUUCAGUUGGAAGUUGUACGGCUUUGGAGUACUUGAACCUAUCCAAGAACAUGAUUGAAGGUACAAUUCCAGAGUCAUUGAAACAAAUUGCAUAUUUAAAAGUACUGGAUGUGGCUUUUAAUCAAUUAACAGGCAGCGUUCCAAUCUGGCUUGCCAAUGACUCAGUGAUGAAGAAUUUCGACCUGUCCUAUAAUAGAUUAACUGGAGAAGUUUCAAGUAUGGGAAAGUUUAAAAAUCUUAGUGGAAGCACAUUGAUAGGAAAUGCAGGCUUGUGUGGUGGUUCUGCGCUAAUGAGACUCCAGCCAUGUGCAGUUCAAAAGAAGAGGAAGUUAAGGAAAUGGACCUAUUACUUGUUGGCAAUUACUAUUAGCUGCUUUUUACUGCUCUUGGUAUAUGUCGGGGUCCGUCUUAGAAAAUUCUUUAAAAGGAAAAGUGAUGCAGAAUCUGAAGAGGCAAUUCUGAUGGCUUUCAGAGGACGAAAUUUCACUCUUAGCGAGCUCAAAAUUGCAACGGACGGGUUCAGUGAUGCCAAUCUCUUAGCGAGCUCAAAAUUGCUUUGGAUCUGUUUAUAAAGCGUGGAUUGAUGAUAGAAAAUCUUUUGUCGCGGUUAAGGUUCUAAAUGAAGACAGGAGGCAGAGUUACAAAAGCCUAAAAAGGGAGUGCCAAAUACUGUCAGGAAUUAAGCAUCGGAAUCUGGUUCAUAUGAUGGGAUCAAUCUGGAAUUCACAGUUCAAGGAUCUCAUCCUUGAGUUUGUAGGAAAUGGAAACUUGGAACAGCAUCUUUAUCCUGAGUCCGAGGGAGGAAACUGUCGAUUGAUGUUGAGUGAGAGAUUAGGAAUAGCAAUAGAUAUUGCAAAUACCUUGGAGUAUCUUCAAUCGGGUUGCUCAACUCAAGUUGUGACUGUGAUCUGAAACCACAAAAUGUUCUUCUUGAUGAUGACAUGGUGGCCCAUGUUGCGGAUUUUGGAAUGGGAAAGGUCUUUUUUGCUGAUAAACAAACUGAAUAUUCUUCUACAGCAAGUGGCCUGCGAGGAUUGUUGGCUAUAUUCCUCCAGAGUGAUGAAGUAUCAGUUAGAGGAGACGAAUAGCGCUUCGGAAUUGCAACGAACUGGUUCAGUGAUGCCAAUCUCUUGGGGAGAGGAAGCUUUGGAUCUGUUUAUAAAGCUUGGAUUGAUGAUAGAAAAUCUUUUGUCGCGGUUAAGGUUCUAAAUGAAGACAGUAGGCAGAGUUACCAAAGCCUAGAAAGGGAGUGCCAAAUACUUUCAGGAAUUAAGCAUUGGAAUCUGGUUCAAAUGAUGGGAUCAAUCUGGAAUUCACAGUUCAAGGCUCUCAUCCUUGAGUUUGUAGGAAAUGGAAACUUGGAACAGCAUCUUUAUCCUGAGUCCGAGGGAGGAAACUGUCGAUUGACGUUGAGUGAGAGAUUAGGAAUAGAAAUAGAUAUUGCAAAUGCCUUGGGAGUAUCUUCAAUCGGGUUGCUCAACUCAAGUGUUGUGCACUGUGAUCUGAAACCACAAAAUGUUCUUCUUGAUGAUUACAUGGUGGCCCGUGUUGCGGACUUUGGAAUUGGAAAGGUCUUUUUUGCUGCUAAACCAACUGAAUAUUCUUCUACAGCAAGUGGCCUGCGAGGAUCUGUUGGCUAUAUUCCUUCAGUUGUGGCAGUUAACUAGGAAUUGGUCUCUUUCUUGCUGCUUAGGAAAAAUGGAAAAGGUGAAAGAAAAGAAAUAAGAACUGAUUUUGAAUGAUCAAGUUCUCAAUGGGAUUCAUUGUUCCACAAGAACAAUGCUCUCUCUGCUACGUGCAAAGCAUCAGUUCCAUAUACUGAUUUUAACAAAGGAAAGAGCAAAGAAUAGAAGCCAUCGUCCCAACAAGUUUUUCAGUGAAAAACUAAAACACCAUUCACUUGUAUGGAAGAUGUUUCCGCAAUAAAUUUGGUGAUUUUUUUCAAAAGAUCAGGCCAUGGUUUUAAUUCAACAUUUCAUGUCUAGUAAUGAAGAACUAAACAUGACAUAUUACUUGUUGAUAUAAUUAACAACAAUGCAGCAGCAAAUUGAAACAGAAUGUCAUCAUACAUGAAAAUGCAGGUUGCCAUACUCAGAUUUAGAACCAACCGAAUGAUUACCAUCAAGGACAUUUGGCCAUUCAGGAUCUUUCAUUCAAGCAGAAUAGAACACACUUUUAUUUUGGGUUUAAGAAAAAAACACACUUUUAUUUUGGGUUUAAGAAAAAAACAGGGAGGGGGAAAAAAAUCCUUGUGGCCAGUUAAAACCCGUGACACUAGAAUUGCUCAGGUCGAACCCCAAGCCUGUAUGAAAAACUCUUCAUCAUAUGUUAAGAGAAAAGUAGUAAAUUCUUCAGUGGGAACUUGAAUCAUGGUCUAACAAGGGUCUAACAAGGGUAUCCAUAAGGAAAUCACUGCUUGGUUCUGUUCAAAAAUCAAAAGGGCACACAGCAAGUCAAGCAUCCGCGUACUUUCCGAUGCUUUAACUCCUUUUGGCUAGUGGGAUAUCCUACUUUUUGACUAAUUUAUACACCCAACGUUUAACACAAAAAGGAGCUCAACAUCAAUAAUUGAUAAGAAAUUGCGUGCCACUUUCUCAUCAGUUGGUUCUAAAGCAGGAAACACGAGCUUUUGCAGUUGCUGCUAGUAGAGAUGAGAAAAGUAGAUAAGAAGCCACCUCUGUCCCCUUCAAAGUUGAGGAUGCCGUUGCGAAAAAUCACCAAUUUCAUGCCUCCACCAUCUCCUCUACAAAAACAGAAAACCGGUUCUGGUUUAUCUUCGAUGCAUGACAAAGAAAACAAUCCAAGAACCACAACUGCAGGAACAAAUACAAAAAGCCUUAUGAAACCCAGACGUAUGUCUGUUGCAGUCAGACCUCCUCCUCCAAUGUCAGCACAGGUUUUUCAGCCUAAGAGACGGGUAUCCAUUGCUACCUAUCGUUCAGAGCCAACCUCAAACAUGACACCACUUCAAACCUCGCGAUAUAAAAAUGGGAAUGUAGUUGGCAGGCAGUCAUUUGUCAGGGACCCAAGAAAGCCAAGGAAUUCAAAGCUGUUCUCUCCAUUGCCAGAGUUCAGGACUGCAUCGGAGACCACACCUACUGUUAUGAGAACCAGUAGUAAAUUCAUGGGGAGUCCUCCACCACAAGCAGGUUCUUGGAAGCCAAAGCACCCAACAGUUGUUGCACUGCAACGAAAAUCUCUGGUGUGGAGCCCGCUAAAGUUAAGGAGCUUUCAAAACAGGAGACCAUCUUUGUUGCCCUAUCGAUCAUCAUCAACUAAUGAGGUGCAAUAAAACUUAGUCUUCAUUGUCAUGAUAAAUAGUAGGAGUAUACUUUUUUUUUCUUGAUUCCCAUCUUCCCAUUUUUCUUACAUGGAUUUUAUAAUUUCUCCUCUGGAUAUUAAUCGCAAUUGUAUGCUACUUGCCUACUCA